GUUUUUCUGCCUUCCCUUAUUUGGGAUUUUUCAUCCAGUACUGGGCUGUGCUACAUCAAGACUGACACUCUUCCCCUAGAUCUACGCACAUUAGGAGACAGUGGGUAUAUACUAUAUAGAGUGGAGAGUACAUGCAUUUACCUGGCUACUCAACUGUUAGAGAACGAGACUGGAGUGUUCUGUGAAUAAGAGGAACAGAGCUCAAGGAACUGCUGAACAGAGAAUCAACAUGACUGCACUUACCCAGGAGAUGGAAUACUUCGCAAAGGUGGAUCCAGUCCCUAGAGAGCUAGGACUUUUUAAUGCAAUUCUUUUAAGAUAAAACACGUAGGACUUGGUGUGGAAACAAAUAAAUAAAAAAAAAAAAACCCCUUCCUGGCUACUACAUGGAGUAAAAAUAUUUUGCCAAUUUAUGUAAAAAUAAAAAUUGGAAAUCAUUGUGCACAGUUUUCAUAAAAAAACAAUUAAGCUUAUUUUUUAAAAAGCAUUUUAAGUCUGGCAAUCUUUUCUACUGGAGUAUUGUACAUGAUGUCAUAAAAAGCUUCUAACCAGAAGAGUCACUGUUAUGAGCUAAAAUUUACACUGUGUUUACAUGCAUACUGCUAACCAUCUAGAUUUGAUUAGAUAAAAGUUAAGAUCCUGAUCCUUAAUUCAACAAAUAAGACAUGUCUACAUUUCAAACUACUGGAUAAAUAAUAAAUAAUAUUUCAGUAUUAGAAAAACAAAAAAUAUCAAAAUAAUUUUGAAAUUAAAAUAAGGCAGGGCAGAAUUAUCAGUGUAUAGAAAAACAGGCUCCUGCAUCUCCUUCUCUAGAAGAAAGCAACUUUAGUUAAUAAAUUAAAGGUUGAGACAUAGAUCUUUUAAUUCCCUUUUCAUUUAAAAAAAAACGGAGUACGAGGUAAUUGAUAUCCACAUGAUGCACUUUUGUAUUUUGCUUGCAAACUGUCACAGAUACAAAAUUUCUGAAGCUAUGUUUCUCACUGAAUAUGCAGGUUCCUGCACCUAAUUAGGUCUCUAAAUCUGCGAUAUGAUCAGACGUCCAAAAAAAGGCAGUCUCAUAUUUUAUAAAAACUGCUAAAUAUUUAGGAAAACCUAGACAUUUUCACAUUGUUUUCCAUGCUUCAUUUAAACUGUGAUCAGCAAGACUUAGUCUUUAUAAAUUGCUUGCUGAAAUAGUCAUAAACUGGCUUGGGAAAACUUACCGGUUUUGUUACAAUGAUUAGGAUGCUAUUAUGUUACGUAUACCUCAGAGUCUGGAGCUAUGGCAUUUCUCCAAAAUAGUUCACAGUUCCCAUAGUUAAUAAAGUACUGCAAAAUGGCACUAAAGUGCAUAAAUAUCUGAAUGUUUUGUAGGGCUAAAAGGUGCUGUGUAAGCUUAAACUACUGCUUUGCCAUUAUAUACAAGAUCAUUUUUCUUUGGGGAGGGAGAGGUUAGUUCUGAGAAUGCCACUGAUUCUAAUUUUAAUGGCGGAUUGUCUACCUUUCACCUUUCUAGAAAAUGUAAAUGCCCCCUUUCUGACUCUUCAGUUUGUCCAGAACAGUAAAAAGAGAAAAGAGUACACUCUAAAAAUGCAUUUCAAGAUAACUAGAUAACUUACAAGGAAUAGUGUUUUAAAAAAAAAAAAAAAAAGUACAUGGUACUCCAGAUGAAAAGUGGACAUGCUCUUUGUUAUUAGCUAUGGAUCUUCUGUUCAAAUGAACAUGCUGUUCAUUUUUAUCAAAACAUGAGUACUAAACUACCAUAAAUUAAAUACAUACAGUACAGAACAAUUAAAAUUUUUUGUACAGUAAUUACUUUUACAUUAAAACUCACCAUCUUUCCAGAUAUGUUGAAAAUUAGGACUCUAAACAUGAUUAUUUCAAAGUACCAUUUUUAACAAUCUUGCACAGGCCCGACAAUCAAAAACAUGAAGCUUUGAUUCACAUAGCUUGGCAGGUUUCACAUACUUUGAUAGGUAGGCUACUUUGAAUAUAUAUAUUUUUUUUACUUAUGCUUUUUUUAAAAUCAAAAGACAGUUUGUUUCUUUAAUCUUUACACGAACUGUCUGUGUGCAAUGCCACUGCCAAUGUAUCUCAAAAAAAAAAAAAAAAGUGUCUGGAACGUUGACCAUAGUCCAAGUGUUGUCUACCUCUUAAAAAAAGUAAGAUUCUAGGAAAUCUAAUCUGAGUGCAUUUAAUAAAGGAAUUCAGUCCUAGAAUAAUUUUAAUAUUAAACAGGUACUGUUUCUACCACUGGUGAUUUGAUGCACUCUUCAUGCAGUCUGCUUUUUUCUGGGAGGUUUAGCGAAUUCUCAGCAGGGUGGUCUUGUAAAUGACUGUCACCAUUCAAAGCUGAAACAAAUCCAUCUUGAGAGGGACCUUUCAAGUAUGAGUGAAAUUCCACUUGAGGAUGGCCUGGCCUAUGUUCAGUGUAUAAACUGUUACAUGGAGCGCUGUUAUCACCUUCAGACGAUGAGCAGCAAACAAUCACUGAGGGAUUUGCAGAAGGGUAAUGAGGGCUGCUAAAAGUUUCCUCUGAUUGCCGCGUGUAGUCAACAAACUGUUCUGAAGUCAUGUUGUAAGGCACCAGAGAAAGACUACCAUUCUUGACAGCAUCUCUUUCUGAGUAAGUCUCACCAAUCUGGUUAGUAGUGCCAGCAACAUGGUUCUCUAUUUGGUAAUACAGAUUUGAAGAGUUAGUAUAGUAUGAGGCAUUUUUAGAGUGGUUUUCAUGCACAGCAGUGCCAUCAGAGUAGCAAAGGACAGUAGGAAGAGGCACCAUGUCAGCAUGGGAGCCCAUGCUUUCCACAAAAUCAUCUGCUUUUUCUUCUUCCUCCUCUUCCUCUUCCUCCUCCUCUUCAUCAUCUUCUGAUUCACUAGGGGCUAAACUUUGUGUGCUAGAAUCUGUAACUCCACUACAAAAGCUACUCCCAUCUUCCUCUUCCUCAUCUUCCCCUGGGCAGUCCAAGUCCUCGGCUGACUGAGAAUGCAUAACUGCAGCCUGCGGUUCAGGUUCAAUCUCAAAAUUCUCUGUGAUUGAAUAUUCAGCUGGAUGGGGUCCUGGACUCAUAGAACUAGUGUGUGCACUUAUCUCACUGUGGCAGCCAUUUAGUGCAGGAACUUGCUGCUCUCUAUUUUUCUCCAAUUCAAGUUUCAUUAUUGUGUGCAAAAAGUGAGUCCGUACACGGAUAGGAUUAAAUUCAAUUCUACCUGCUGUAUUGCUACACCCUUCUUUAGUGCAACCACAUGGAAAAGACAUACGAUCCACCUUUUAGAAAAAGAGAGUACAGAUUAGUAAUACAUAUCAUAAAUCUGGUGUUAUGACAGAACCUAGUCAGCCUAAAGAAACAAAACAGGAGUCACCUGAGAAGUAUUCGUGAGAAUAAUCCAAAAUAACAAUAAUUCAGACAGCUAACCUGGAGUUUAGCAAUACUGCAAAAAAUAGUAAGGCAUGGAUUUACAAUGUUGCAGAAUAGGAAAAAUACUUCAGUUUCACAGCUGUAGGCAUUACAGAGUGGAACAAAGAAUACACAGUUUUUCUAUUUACGGAUCUGCUACAGCUACACUAAAUGUGUUCAAAUCCUGGCAAAAUCACUAGCAGGAAAAAAAAAAUUAUGGAAUUUGAUGAAAAUCAUGGAAAUAAUUAGAAACCUAAUGAAACAUGAAUUAUGUAUAAAAAACUUUGUAAAGCUUCCAAUAGGGCAACACCUGACCACAGAAGAUAGGAAAUGGAAGCUUGAAUACGUGUUAAAAGAUACUUCAGUCAGUUGUAGAUGCAAUGUUGUAAGCUCAACAGACUGUGGGCAGAACUUACGUAUCUAAUAAUACCUAGCUUAAAUAUCUAAAAAUGUGAGUGAAUCCACAAAUCAGGUACUUCAGUCAGAUGACUUAAGGUCUAUGAUUUUUUCAUCUACACUGUGAUACCUAAGCAUAAAAUGUAAUGCAGAGGAGAACCAAAUAAAGCCCAGACACCUGAAGAUGAAAACAAACAGCAAAGAAGGGAACAUUAUUUAGAACAGCAGAGAGAGUUUUGCUUGGGUUUAAGUAAUUAUGAAAAAUGUAUUCAUGGAGAAAUCAACUCAGGUGCUAGCAGCUACUCAAGAGAAUUAGUGGAAGCAUCUUUUAGGGGACAUUCUGGAACAUUUACAGCUGUACAUAGGAGACCAUGUAAAUGUGUGACACAAAAUACCUUUUCAGUUCAGAGAGAAAAACUACAUGACAUAUUAGCAGUUGUACUCUAUUGCUGACAUCUGCAUGUUGGGUAAGGACAGUAUCAUAGGGUUUCAUGCGUUGCUUCUUACUGAGUUUUGAUUAUAAUUCACAUUUGAACAGUAUGUGAACUGUCUCUAGACUAAAAGCUAAUAUCCCUUCUGACAUCUGCAGGUUAUUGAUUCGUCUGUUUUCUCCAUUUGAACAUUUAGAUAAAGGCCAGAGAAGAACAUGAGGAGCACUGUAUUUGUAUGUGAAUGAAAAAAUACCAGAUAAAUGUGUAUAAAUGUGUGCGUCUAAACCAACUGUAAAAUAAAUAAUGGUUUUAAGGAGAUAAUUUGUACUGCACACAAUAUACUCUUAAACUGGGCCUUAAAAAACUAGUUUGAGAUCCACAAGCAUCAUCAUGUAAUAAUUCAUUUAAUGAUUUUCCAUAAUAUGUUUAGUUAUCACUUUAACAACAACAAAAAAUACACACACACACCCCUUGUUAGUUAAAUGACAACAACAAUAUAGAUAUUUACCUGACAUUUUAUGCCUGCAAGACUGCAAGUACAAGUUUCUGGAUCACAGAAUACACGGCAGUCACAGCCACAAUCCUCUCUGGACAAGCGGAUGGCUCGCAACUCGUGUUUCUCUUCCACAUCAAUCUUCUUCACUCCAGAAGCUCGUAGCAGUGCCCUUCGUUUUUUUGUUGGCAGGGGUUGUAGAAAGAAGUACUCAUCUACUUCAGUGUUGUCUAGAUCAAUAUCAUCAUCAGAAAUGUCAUCCAGUGUCAGGGUAUUAGCUUCUUCAGAUUCCACUGUACCAUUCUUUGUCAUCUGUAAUACAGAACAAUUAACAUACAUAAUGUGUAGACUAUACUUACAAAUGUGUGUCAUAUAUGUAAAUACAUGUAAUGAAUUACAACAGUAGAAAGCCAUAUGUAAAAAUCCUGUUACUUGUCAUGCCUUGCUCUAGUCUCCACAACUGUCAGUAAGUUCUAUAAUAUAAUCAUAGAUGGGGAGGUGAAAAGGCAAUUCAUUUUUAGUUUCAGGUUUGUCAUGAAACUGUAUUUCUUAUAAACUCCAAUUUCUUAACUGUUCUUUAUGUCCUUUACCAUAUGCAGUAGUUUGGCAGAUCUCAUGCCUUUAUAAGAUUCUAGCCUUUACAAAAUUUCUGCAUAGGAUGAUUUUUCUGAGCCCUCAAUUGAUUUUAGUUCCUAUUUCUUAGCACUUUGUAAUUCUUCAUUAUCCCUCUUGAGCUUAGUAGUUAUUCUACCAACACUGUUCCAGAUUAGGUUACAUCAGAGAUUUCUAAAAUGGCAUAUUUAUUUUAUGUACUGUUCUCUAUCCUCUUCCUCAUGUAGCCUGACAACGUAUUUGCUAUGUGUACAGCUGAGGUCAAAAAGCAGUAUUUCCACUGAAGUGUUUGCGCAGAUGCCUGUAUCUGCUUAUUAUUUUUGAACCUGUAAGUCACUUAAUAUUACCUACUUUCUACCUCUGUAACUUCAAAUUUAUUUGCAAUAGAUUUCAUGCUGCUUAUGCAUACAGCUUUUCUGAAGUUCUUUACAGUCAUAUUAGGUCCUGAAAAUAACCUAAAUAAUAGCUUUGUGCCAUCAUAUAUUUUAGUACUUCACUAACCAGUCCAGAUUAUUCUUAGAUUGUUAAUGAAUAAACAAAGAAAUAUGGUGUUAACCUGUUGUGGGGGAUCUCGAGAAAAGCUUUUUCCUGCUCAUUUCCUAACAAGAUUAAUUUUUGACCCUCUGUAUAUACGAGUUCCCUAGCACUAUGAGUUCCCUAGACCAUUUCUGAUGUAUAGUUUUCCUCUCAAAUCUUUUUAAAUUUGUUUCAAAAGUAAAUGCCCAUGAGCAUCAAGCACAAAACUCCAAAGGCACUUUCCACUUUCAUAAAUUAGUACACUUCAGUGCCAUGUGUGUCAUAUGUGCUUGUAAACCAUUUCAUAUAGAAAGGCGUGUACAUAUUCAAGAAGAAAAGAAAAAGAUGAAAAAGGCCACAUUCUUUCAUCUACUGUACUGAAGGAAGGGUAACUUUUCUAUCCAUGGUACAGCUAGCUUGCUACACCUGCCAGAUAAUAAAACUAGAGCUUUUAUAAAAGUUCUUCUGAAGAGAAAAUUGAGAAUCAAAAGAAUAGUGAGCGCUAAAAAAAUCUUGAGAGGGAUGGUAACAUUUACUACAUGGAAAUGUAUUUUCUCAAUCUCAAGUUACACACACUGAGCAUGGUACCACAGCAAACAUCUGUAGCAAGUGCAGUUAUGUGACUGUUUUGUCAUGCAAUGAACCCUUAUUCUUUUAGUUCUAUGAAAUCAUUUUGCUGAAAAUGGAAAAUGGAAAAACAAAAAAACAUAUUCCCAAUGUUCACCCUGCACUAAGCAAUGUUUUGAAUUGAGGCUACUGACUUACACUAGCAGAGCACCUGGACCCAUAAUUUUGCGAACAGAAUAUGAUAUAAAUUGUAUUUGUACAGUGGUGAAAUCUCAAGUUUUGUUUGCAUUAAAACACUGUUUCAUCAUGGGCAUCACCAUGAUCUCAGAAAAAUGGCUCUCAGUGAAUGUAAUUUGAUUGUUUCUUACCUAUAGAAAAGUAAGCAUUCAAAUUAAUUUUGUUUGCUUUAUUAAGCUGCAGAAAAUUUUAGCUUGGCCUGUUAUCCCAAAUAGAUUUUCAGACACCCAUUUCACAUAGAGAUACAAUUCUGAAGUCAUAGCUGCCGUUUCCUGGGUUUUAUGCAUUUCACUGUUAGCCAUUUAAAAAUUAUCACUGUGUAGUGAACUCCCUUUUUUUCUGCUACCUAAUCCUGUCACCUCUCCUCCUGAUGCUCCAUCUAGCUAUGUUUACGAGUAAGAAAGCAGUCCUGAAUCUGACCCACCUUACUAUUUCUGCUUUUUUAAUGUUCCCAACUGGGGUAGGUAUUUUAGUUUUCCCAUUUACAUUAACAGUUUGGCCUUUCCACAACCUUCUGGAUUGCAACUGUCAUUUUAUGGCAUAAAUGAAUUAAUCAACAGUGGGCUUCUGUUGACUGUUUACUGUCUUUGUGAUUGCAGUUUUGUGUUUAUAGCAACUGGAUACAGCAAUCACAGAGAAAAAGAGAUGAUUCAGCUACUUCCUUGUUAAGUCAGGUUAAAAGCAAUACCCUUUGAGGAGAAGAGUCCCAGUAUCAUGACUGGUAGUCCUUACAUACUGUGUAAAGACUAUACAUUACACUACAUAAGGAAAAAAAUCUCCUUAGCAUCAGUAAUCAUUCAUUCCUCUUAGCAAUUCAGAACACUGAGUUCAUGCAGAGGUGUUCUGCCAUUUCCACAGCUCCGCGUUACAGGCAUUACUGUGUCCUUCUCUUUCCAGUGUAUUCUCACUCCUUAACUACAGCCUUCGGAGUUCGACGCCCUCAUUCUAUUUCAUGUUUCAUUUUAAUUCCAUGUCUGUUAUCCCUAUAACGUUCAAAUCCCUAUAUGUGCAUAUACUUCCAGUUCUUUCUUCAUCUUAAAUGCAGGCAUUUUCAAAAUGUCCUCUCAAACUACCUUUAUAUUUUUUCCUACUCUGUUUUCUACUAUUUAUCUUUUUUUAUAGGGGCUAGGAAAAGAGGGGUAAGAGCUCCCUAAUCAGUUCUGCUUGACUCUGGCGCAAUGGAGAGAUAAUUUACUCCAGGUACUUCGAUGUAUUAGUUCAGUGAGUUAAGGAGAGAAGCUAACAUUAGAACUCUUCCUCCUUCUGUACAAUCUAUGGUGAGAGACAGGUAAAUCCAUGGAUUGAUUAAAAUCAUCUUGAAUUAACUGCCUGAAGCUAGUGUGUGGGAAUACCCCACUAUACAUGCAACUUAGCCUGAAUGUUCAAAUCCAGAAUGCCAUCUUUUGAACAGAUUUCAGGGGUUUGUUUGUUUUUCCUUUUUUGUUAGUUAGGUACAGCUAAGUACAGUAUAUUUAUGUUUCUUUGCUUUGCUUUUUCAUUCAAUAGGAGAAUGACUUAAGAAUUCUGAGUUCUCCAAAUAAAUAAAUACAGAUGACUCAACCACUUCUUUAGCGGAUCAGUGUUACUUAAUGGCCUAUCAGAAUUUAAAAGUGAAACUGGGAAGGGGGGAACAAUUCUGAUCCAGUCCAUGCUUCUGUAAUAUUUUUUUUAUUAUAUGACUACUUAAUAAAAACUAAGUUUCAGUCCUAGGAGUAGAGGGCUUUCACCUCUGAGGUGAAUGCUGUAACUGCUCAGCUUACAAAGGCACAUACAAAACGAUACCAGACCUGUCGUGUUUUUUUCUUCCCUUCCUGUAAAUCUACACAGCAGUAGAGCAUUAAGGGGUGGAUACCAGUCAGGUGCUGAAUGCUGUAUGCAGCCAUCAGACCAUAAAGCCAAAUAUUAGGGCAUCAAGUGAGAUUAGACAGCAGUUUGCAGUUUCAGAGAACUUUAGCUCAUCCUGAGUCCUUUGCUGCAUUGCUCUGCACUCUUAUUCAUCGACAAAAAAAAGUCUACAAAAUUGUUAUUUGGAAUGGAACACUACACGUUUUUUUAAAUCAAACUGCAUUUUGUUGUGUCCUCUGAUUUUUUUCUCAAAUUUGUCACCCAGAGAACAAACGCUAAUGGUGUCCAUUAUAGAAAAACAAUGUAUAUUCUAGUUUCUCUUUAGAAAUACCACACUGAAAAAAUGACAUUGAGUUGGGAGGCUUCUUGGGGGCUGAGAAUUUUGGGGGUAACCACUAACUAAGAGAGAUUCGUUAUCCAGGGUGGGAAAUAAAAACACACAGAAUUUUUCCAACCUUGCACAAAACAUAGGGACAAGUUGAUCUCAACUAUUUCGACAAGAAAACAGAUUUUACUUCUGUUUUUGCUUUGCAGGAACCAAACCCGAAAAAUUCGGCUCCAGAUGCAAAUUCUGUAAAUGUUCAGAUCUAGGGUUUUAGUUGGAGCCUACUGAUCUUUCCUCAUUUAAUAACCCUUAUUUUUCUGCUUAGCAUAUUCAAUACUUUUAGUUAGGAGCUUGAACGUACUGUCUUAAGAAUGAUAAUAACUCAUAGGUCAUUCAGAUUAUCACCUAAUUAUUGUGUUUAUUUCAAACAGCAAAAGUGGGUAAUUCUAUUUUCUGCUGACACAUAAAUUUCUGCAAAGGUGACAACAUGGUCUGGACUCAAGUCUCUUAUCACAAGCCUGUGUUCAGAGCACUGGGUCAUGCUCUCAGUCGUCAUUUUACUGUUUGAUUUUUUAAUACACUCUCUUUAGGUCAGUACAUCAUAGAUUAAAUAUGGUCAGAAUGAGACUAAGUGAUCAAUCAAAAUAUCAGAUAGUUUGAUUAGCAGCCAACACUUGCUCCUGAUGGACUUCAGUGUACUUCUCCAACAAAAUAGACAGGAUGCAGUCAUGAUCUCUGCAUCAAAUGAUCAGAUGGGGAAAUUAUUUUUUGUUUUUGUGACUGGUUAUUUUUGCCUGGCAGAGGAAACAGCAAAUGACACAACCACAGAUGUAAAGAAAGAAAUUAAAUACUUCAACGAAAGGUUGAGAAAAGUAAGAUUUGAACAUCUCUCAUACAAGUAAUUGAGUAACUACAGAAAGAGGAAGAUUAUCAAGGACCAUCAAAUUACAUUUUCCUACUCAAAACUACAUUAAGUUCUCCUGAUCGUGAUAACAUUGCUUAUCUGAAUUAAACUUUGGCAUAUAGAUGGGUAAAAGUUAACUAAAGGUAACUUUCAUGACGAUCAAUAUGUGAAGUCCUUGGGUGAAAUUCACUUCAGUUCUGUAAAACCUGUAAAAUUUAGGUUAGACACAUAGCACCUUUACCUGCCCCAGCUGGAAAUUAUUCCUUACAAUUUCCUACACUGGAAACCAAAACAAAACAUAGAGUUUUAGUUUCUGCAGUUUUCUCUAGGAAAAUUGAACUCAUUUUCAGUUCAAUUCAUUUUAAUUCUGCCUGUUAGAACUACUGGCUUCUAUUUGUACCAUUCAACUGUAGAAAUUAAAUAGCUCAUGGCUAUGUAUACUAGAGUAGGAUACAGCCUUAAGUUAAAGAUUUGUGCAAGUUCCUAGACAGCACUAGCAAGUAAAAUUUGAAUACUCUGUCCUAAAAUAAAACUAAUUGGCCAAUUAUUGACAGUUCCAUGAUAGACUUGAAUGAAUUAAGUUCAUUCAUAUAUGUCUAAUGCAGAUAGUGUACUGCUACUUUCUUUUCUUGGAAAUUGUUGAGCACACACCUUCAUAUGCACCAUUAUAAUCACACCACUUAGGUUUCCUCAAUAGCUUUUUACCUAGCUUAUAAAGAAACCAAGAAACGGCACAGAGAUUUUCAAAGCAGCUAUUCAAGGGUUUUACCAUUCCUUGCCAUGUGUUCAUGCACGUUCCCUAAUGUCUUAUGGAGAUAAAAAGGCAGGAAAAGGGAUGGAAUCUUUUUAAACACAUCUUUUUUUUUAAAAAAAAAGGAAAAAGACUCCUAGGGUAAUUCUGUUCAGAGGCAAACCCACAUCCUUUUCCAUUUGCAUUUGCCCUGUUUUCAGAAUGAGAAUAAUCUGUGCUGUUUUAUCUAUCAGUCCACAGAUCCAUGAGCCCUACCAUCAUUAGGGUCAUGCUAAUUAUUUUAAUGUAUCUUCAUUUGAGGAAACGUUAUGAGUAAGCAGUAAGGAACAUUCCAGCUAAUUUACUGUGCUUGCUCAUAACGUUUACUCAAAUUGCAGCAUAUUAAAGUAAAGCCUCCCUUGUACCUUUCAUCUUGACAAGAUGGCUUUCAUGCCCAGCUUGCCAUUAGACUUUUCACACUCAGCUGCUAAUAGUGUGUAUGCCACAACCAGCAGUGUUUACACCAAAGUGCUUCUGCUAAAUGGCUAAAGUCACUUGAAGAUGAUUUUAAAGUCUUUCUCUGAUUUUAAUUAAGAGAAGUUUCUUAUUUGGCUCUCUACUUUUAGCAAGUACCUAACAGUACGUAACAGUCUCAAUUCUCUAUAUUACUGUAUACCUGUUUUUUUUUAAACAAAUUCUACAAGAGAUAGUGCCCUCUACCUAUUGACUUGAACAGUUUAAUUCAAUUGAAAAAAUUAACAAACCAGGAAAACCAAGAUUAAAAAAAAAUGCUGAAACUUAUUUCUUUCCUUUUGCAUGUAGAUUUUCAAACAACAAAAAAAACCUUUUCGAACAAACUUUGCCUUACUGCAGUUUCUCCUUUUCUUCAUUUUUCUUUGCAGAUGUACAGUAAUUUGGAUGAAAAUCCCGAUCAGUACAUUUUAAAUAAAGAUCAUAAUCACUGUCAUUAUCACCUUAAAACUCUACAGCCUUUCCUUGUUGUGUUUAUUUAGAAACCAGGCAAAUAGCAAAACAGCUCCUCCAUCUCUGUAACAGGAAAUCACCACGGCCCAAUUCUUAUAAGCAAAUAAAACAUCCUCAGUGCUUUACAGUCAUUCUUCAAUAUAAAUCAAGGAUUCCCACAUAGGUUUUUGGGAGGGAAAGUGUUUCUUUUUUUAUCUCAAAUCAAAACUAUUUCCUAAAGGAAGUGUUCUGUUUCCUACCUCUUUAUAUAUGCUCUAGAGUGGAAAGAAAUAUUUUACUCUACUAAAAGAUUUAACACUAAUUAGAUGCCACAAUUUUUAAGACACUCUCAGGAUUCUGAACGCUUAACCACGAUUUCUUCAUAUCUGAAUUUGAAACUUUGGAGUCUGUUUACUAGUCUCAGAAAGGUUAGUAAACUAUUCCCAUAUCAGCUGCUGAGGAUCGAUGAAGAAAGAAUCUUGGCAACGCUGAAUUAAGUGUAGGGUAAGGAUUUUUCCAUUUGGGAAAAGGAAACAAUUAAGACAGGGAAGAAUGCAAAUCAGGCUUUCAUUAUUCACUCAAUACUUAUGAAGAGAUUUUGCAGAAGUUUAACAUUCAGAGUAGAGAUUAUCAUCCACUUAAGUAUUUAUGGUGCAUGGGAAAAUGUGACAGGGCAGAUGGAAGAAUGCAUUGUGUUUGGAAGAGGAGCCGAAAGUAGAGUCUGUGUUUUAAAAAAGAGUGGGCUGGAGUGAAGUAGUUGAAAGAAGAUCCAUCACAGCCAGGAGAUGAACUACGAAAGCACACAGAGGCAAGCUCUAUACUCAGUAUAGAUGAAAGCUAAGAGGUCUCACCCGGUCUUUAGAAGUAAAUAGGAUUUAUGAUCUUUCAUGAUUAACUUUCUCCCAAUAAAAAGGAAAAAUGAAAUAUUUGCAUGCCUUACUAUUCUUUACUCACUCCACUGGGGAUUCCUCCCUCUCUCCAUUUCAUCCUCUAUCUGUAUUUCUGGGGAAUAUAUGAUCUGAGCUGAGUCCUGGAAGUCUGCCUAGGGAUCUGCACAGAGUCAUUGGUUACACUGACACAGCUCUAUUCACAUACAAUGCUCUGAAGAUCCUGUGAUGCAAGACAUUUAGAGGUAUAAUCUCUCUGUUCAGUGGUUAAAUUAAUAAUACUCAAGCCUUUCGCUUCCAACCUGUACAAAUAUCCGUCUUCAAUUUCCUCUUGUCCUGAGUGAUUUUAUGUUUGUUUUUAUUAUGCCAGUUCAAUUUUUAUAAACUAUUUAAGAAUCUAUUUAGCUAUUCAAAUAAAAAACAAUUAGGAGACUGAAAAAAAUAAUUAGAAUAAUAAGAGUCAUAUGCACUUCUCCAGGAGUUCAGAUAUAGAUCUGUGGGAAAAAUGCUAAGAGGCAUUUCUCAAACUGCGUGGAUACUAGUUUACUUUGGGCAACUGUAGUAGUGUCUGACACAGAAAUAUAAUAUCAUGAAGGGGCUGUGAAGCACAGUAGUUUGGCUACAAUUCAAAAAAUUGUUCAAUUAUAAUUACAGGAUUCACCUGAAAAAAAGUCCAAAAUAUAUGGGGGACAAGCAACUAUACAGGAAAUAUUUCACCCACCAAAAAUAUAACAAAAAUGGAAGUUUUGUCACCAGUUUGAAAAAGACACAAGGGACACUUUCAAGACCAUAAUCUUCUCCUCUAUUCUGCUCUCCUCAGAUGCACAGUUUAUUUUCUCUAUUCUGCUAUAUUUAAAAAGCCCUCUUCAAACCUUUAGUGUGGAUUUAUAUCACUUGGUAUCUCCAGUUCUGACCAACUGAACUGAUAUAGAUGGUUAAUCACCCUUUUGUGAAAUAUUAAACACUCAUGCUGGUAAUAACACGAUACAUGAUCAUAUAAAUUAGUACACUAAAAAAACUAGCAUAACUGUUUCUUACUUUUUGUCAAAUUCGCUUUAGUUAGCCAGGAAAAUAAGCUGUUUCGUAUCCUGUACUUAUUACCACGAUGUUACCAUCUCUUGUCUAAUAAGGGCACUGUGCAAGGUCUCAGAAGACUCAUUCUCUUUCUGGUGCUUCUAGACUUCUGCUGGACACCCUAGUCAAGGCUCAGUUACACUGCCUCUCUGCCUUUGUUUCCUAUCUGUAGAAAACAGGGAAUAAACAACCACCCCCCUGAAAAGCUCUUUGAGGUACACAAUAAAAAUAGCUACAGCAGUACUAAGUAUUAUCAAACAAAAAUUUAUCUUCAGUGAAAUAAAAAAGAAAAAAAAUCAGUAUUUACAUUGAAAAUAGAGUUGACUGCGAGGAAGGGGUUUUGUUUAAAAUGUACAAAUUGGGUCCAUAUGACCCUAACACUGCCCAAUUAAGUGCAGGAGGCAGGGAUCAAAGUCUCCAAGGAAUUUUUACCUUUAAUUUUAGAGAAUUAAGUUUUUCCUCCCUUAGAUGCUCUCUUAACAUUUCUCGGUGAAGCCUCUCCUGUUCCAUUGCAAACUCUCCAAGCGUGUAUUGGCGCACACUGUUGUGGCGAGUGGACAUUCCCAACGUGCUUCCCCCUUGGCUGGGAACACUGGUGAAGCCUUGCCUUCUUGUGAAGUAGUACACAGUAACACAGUUAAAAUGGACAUUUUUUGUUCUCUUCCGCUUCUCUCUCUUCAGGAUUGAAGAAGCUAGAACAGAAGCAGAUUACAUUUAUGAUAACUUGAAGUCAUAUAAGCAAAUACUUUGUCACUUCAGUAGUUUAAUUUGCCUUAACAAUACCUGAUUAUGCUAAAGUUCGGGGGAAUGCACUCCAAAUGAGGAGAUAAGAGCUGAAAUAUUUAUAGUAUAGGCAAACCUAGAAGCUCUUACAAACUGAUACAACCAUGAACAUUAUUGUCUAUUUCAGAACAGAAAUUCUUGGCUAGGACAUUUGGGUUUUCCCACAGCACUUUAAUAAUGUGUUAUCAUUUCACCAAGGCAGCAAAUAAAGCCUAGCAAAAGGAACUUCUUCUAAUGUCUCACCUCAAAGAUAGCGACUGCACCUCUUUGAACGCAGUGAACACAAUGACACUACCUAUGACAGGAGUCCGGAGAACAGUGGACCAAUGUCUCUCACAGAGCUAUAAGCUCUAUUAUUAUUCUGUCAGUAAGGUUACAGCUGCAGAGAUGUAUGGCUAGAUCUUCAUAUCACUGGAUCAUAUUAGAGGAGAAGAUUCCUAUCUUAUAUUCUAAAAUAUGUGCAAUUAGUGUUAGAAAAACUAUAAAGGCAAUAUAUGUAGUGUUUCAGACUGUCUCAGAAAUUCACAGCAUCAUCAUCACGGAAUGAUAAUAUAUGAAUAAUGCUGAUUAAAAAAUCUGAUGGACUUUCUUUUUCUUUCCCUUCAUCCUUAUUUCUGUUGCCAUCCGCUGAAUACGUGUGUGUGUGUAUGUGUGUGUGUGCACACGUACUCGCUAUAAUGUGUAGAGUCUUGAUUAAAAAAAAAAUCUAUUCCUUUCUCUUUUCUAAUACCCCAUACAUUCAUCUCUCUUGCUCAGUUUCUCUUAUACAAAUACACAGUAUCAUAUAAAAUGGAUUUAUUUAAAAAUAAAUGUGUUAUUUUAACUUUUAAAUAUUAUUCUUUUUGUAGGGACAUUUAGUAACUCCUUCCAGUGAUACCGAUAUAUUGUUUCUCGCUGGUAACAAUGGUAAGCCUUUAGAUUAAAAUAAGAGAGACAAACUUUAGAGAAACGUAAGAGACACUCCUUGGUUUUUAAGACGUGCCAGCAGCCUGGUUUAUUUGAUUUAUUGCAAAAUGACAACAGGAUGUUGAGAAAGUAGCUAACAAUCUACAGCUUUGCAGCUUAGAUGCAACACUUGAGCGGGGGUAAAUGAGAGACCUAACCGACAGAAUUCAGGCAGUAAAAUGAUUUUAAAAGUGCCUGACCACUUUUGAAAGAGUUGGAACCAUUUUAUAAAAGCAGUAAGGUACAACAUGAUGUACAGCACUGAUCUAGAAUUGCGCUAUCUCUAGAGACUGGAAGCACUUGGCUUUCAGCCCUGGUUUUGAAACAGGUUUGGUUUAUUGUCAUAGUUAAAAAAUAGUUCAUUCUCAAUAAUAUUAUGUAGCAAAACGAUAAUCAGAAAUGUAGAAAAAAAGUCACUUUUACAUACAGAAAUUCUAUCCAAAAAUUAGUAUGACCUACCUAGCUAUAUGAGAAAAAAGUAUAUUAGAAAAUAUAUUCCUGUAACCAAACUACAGUUGGCAUGCCUCACUAAUGUAAAAAUAUUUUGCAUUCAGUACAACACUGAAAUAAUUAUUACUUUGACUAAGUACUGAUAAACAGCUAAAAUUAUGGUUUGUUAAAUAAAUAAUAUGCACUUCUUCAGAUAUGCUGAAGGUAUGCUAGAUUUCAUAUCAAUAAACAGAGGUCCUAUAUUCAUGGAAAUGUUCUCAGUGAUACAACUGCUUUCCAAAAAGGAUGUAGGAUGUACAUGGAGCAAUGAAAAGAUAGACUCUCUUAUAUUAGAUAUAUCUAAACUUGCGUCCAAGUUUAAGCAAAUCUCAUAUCAAGAGAACCUGUCAAAAAUAUUUAUAGGAAGGUUUUACUGGAGGGAAGAAAAUGUGUCAAUUUUGUAUAAUACUAAAUAUUGAUUUAAUGUACUCUUGUUUUUCAUAUAUGCCGUGUUUUCAAAACAAAAUUGUUACCAUUAAUAAAACCAAGUUUUUAAUAGAA